GAUGAACGCUGGCGGCGUGCCUAAUACAUGCAAGUCGAGCGAACAGACGAGGAGCUUGCUCCUCUGACGUUAGCGGCGGACGGGUGAGUAACACGUGGAUAACCUACCUAUAAGACUGGGAUAACUUCGGGAAACCGGAGCUAAUACCGGAUAAUAUAUUGAACCGCAUGGUUCAAUAGUGAAAGACGGUUUUGCUGUCACUUAUAGAUGGAUCCGCGCCGCAUUAGCUAGUUGGUAAGGUAACGGCUUACCAAGGCGACGAUGCGUAGCCGACCUGAGAGGGUGAGCGGCCACACUGGAACUGAGACACGGUCCAGACUCCUACGGGAGGCAGCAGUAGGGAAUCUUCCGCAAAGGGCGAAAGCCUGACGGAGCAACGCCGCGUGAGUGAUGAAGGUCUUCGGAUCGUAAAACUCUGUUAUUAGGGAAGAACAAAUGUGUAAGUAACUAUGCACGUCUUGACGGUACCUAAUCAGAAAGCCACGGCUAACUACGUG
rnacentral:rRNA from 1 species